AGUCGGAUCCAAGUCAGUAGAAUGUGGCCGAGCCAGAUCCGAAGGUCAGAUCCGAGAUCCUGUUGUGAGGAAGAAUGAAGAAGACAACAUCAGAUUACUGCAUUUUCUGAUUACGCUUGUCAUGCUUUUCCAAAGAGGGAAAAUAUUGCACUUUCAAGGUUACGCAGGUUUCUUUCUGCGCACAGAGAGUGAUGCAUUAACUUGUACAUGGAGUUAUGCUGAGAUGUUUCAUACGAUGGGACUCACUGAUUGCUGUGUUGAAGGGAGGUCCAGAUGUGAGAAAUAUAAUCGCUUACUAAG